ACGUAUCUGAACCAGGACUUUAUUCCUUUUGGUGGCCAAAUAGCGUUCUGUUGUAUGGAUAUACCCCAUUUCAUGUAUCCAUUCAUCAGUUGGUAGGUCAGGGAUCUAAUAGCCAGAGGAAGACUCCAGGCAGGCACCUGUCCCACCACUUUGACCUCCCUGCUGACAAGUCUGACAUUUGGGGGCAAGACCUCUGGAAGAAGAGGUAACAUGACACAGUGGUUGAACUCAAGCUCAGGUCAUACAAGGCCACCUGGUGUAGAGAUCCCCUGCUUCCUGACCAUCCGCCUGGACACCCCUACGCAACCUGCUGAACCUCUCCAAGCCUCCACAGCCUCAUCUGUAAACAGGGACAGUGCCAGUACUGAGAGCACAUGAGAGUCAUGAGAAUUCGGUGGGGUAUUGCAGGCGAUGUGGCCCAGGAUGACUGGUGGGUCAGGGUCAGCGGUCAAUCUUUGCCAAAUCCCUCUCCCAUCUUUCUGGUCCCAUCGCAUCUAGCGCCUUCCCAGAGCAACAGAAAAGAGGCAACUGCUUUUGAACCUGGGGCUACUCUUUGAAGAGCUAGCUCAGGGACUGGGACAAGGGAGUCUGGGUCAGGCCUGAGCCUGCUGUGUGGUCUUGGGAAAGUGAACCAUCCCUGCUGAGCCUGGAGGGGAAGCCGGCUGACUGCAGAAGGGGAAAUGAGAUAAAGGAGGUCAAGCCCUCACUGCUUCCUGUCUCCCUGGGAAUCCCUAAAAACAUUCCCCGGCCUCCUCCUCCGCCCUCAUCCCUCUCCCAGGGCUUAAUUGGGCAGCUGUAGUCACUCGGCACUUAACCUUCUCCCCAUCUGCCCUCCAGGGAAAGAAUUAAUGUUAAUCCCUGAGCACUGCUUCCUGGGCCAUGUCAGGAAAGUGUGUGAGGAGCAGGGAGCCAGCCAGCCUGAGGCCUCCCAAGUAGCCCAGCCCAACUCCCUCCUCACGUAUCUUUGUCCUGGAGUCCUGGGGCCAGCCCUGCGGCCAGUAAGCCACCUUCCUCUUUACCCCAUCUUUGUCCCUCUAGCCUGGCACUUUUCGAUGGAAAUAUAAUGUGAGUCACCUAAAU
ensembl:lncRNA